AGUGAACGCUGGCGGUAGGCCUAACACAUGCAAGUCGAACGGCAGCACAGUAAGAGCUUGCUCUUACGGGUGGCGAGUGGCGGACGGGUGAGGAAUACAUCGGAAUCUACUUUUUCGUGGGGGAUAACGUAGGGAAACUUACGCUAAUACCGCAUACGACCUACGGGUGAAAGCAGGGGAUCUUCGGACCUUGCGCGAUUGAAUGAGCCGAUGUCGGAUUAGCUAGUUGGCGGGGUAAAGGCCCACCAAGGCGACGAUCCGUAGCUGGUCUGAGAGGAUGAUCAACCACACUGGAACUGAGACACGGUCCAGACUCCUACGGGAGGCAGCAGUGGGGAAUAUUGGACAAUGGGCACAAGCCUGAUCCAGCCAUACCGCGUGGGUGAAGAAGGCCUUCGGGUUGUAAAGCCCUUUUGUUGGGAAAGAAAAGCAGCAGGUUAAUACCCCGCUGUUCUGACGGUACCCAAAGAAUAAGCACCGGCUAACUUCGUG
rnacentral:rRNA from 1 species